GCCUGGGAUAGCUCAGUUGGUAGAGCAUGAGACUCUUAAUCUCAGAGUUGUAGGUUCGAGCCCCAUGUUGGGUC